UACGGGGGGGGCAAGCGUUGUUCGGAAUUACUGGGCGUAAAGGGCUCGUAGGUGGCCAACUAAGUCAGACGUGAAAUCUCUGAGCUUAACUCAGAAACUGCCAUGGAUACUAUUUGUCUUGAAUGUUGUGGAGGUAAGCGGAAUAUGUCAUGUAGCGGUGAAAUGCUUAGAUAUGACAUAGAACACCAAUUGCGAAGGCAGCUUACUACACAAAUAUUGACGCUGAGGCACGAAAGCGUGGGGAUCAAACAGG
rnacentral:rRNA from 1 species